UACGUAGGGGGCAAGCGUUGUCCGGAUUUAUUGGGCGUAAAAGGCUUGUAGGUGGCCACGCCAAGUCGGAUGUGAAAUCUCCCGGCUCAACUGGGAGGGGUCAUUCGAUACUGGCGGGCUCGAGGCCGGUAGGGGGAAGUGGAAUUCCCGGUGUAGUGGUGGAAUGCGUAGAUAUCGGGAGGAACACCAGUGGUGAAGGCGGUUGCCUGGAGCUUUGCUGACGCUGAGGCGCGAAAGCGUGGGGAGCGAUCCGG
rnacentral:rRNA from 1 species